AUCACUUGUGUCUGUUUUUGCUUAACUUGUGGUCAAAGACUACAUACAGGUAUGGAAAACAAAUCCUCUUUUGCAACCCAAGCUCAUUGUUUGGUAUGAGUUUUGAUACAUAGACAAAGGAACAUG